rnacentral:rRNA from 1 species
CCUACGGGUGGCAGCAGUGAGGAAUAUUGGUCAAUGGACGAGAGUCUGAACCAGCCAAGUAGCGUGAAGGAUGACUGCCCUAUGGGUUGUAAACUUCUUUUAUAUGGGAAUAAAAUGUUCCACGUGUGGGUUUUUGUAUGUACCAUAUGAAUAAGGAUCGGCUAACUCCGUGCCAGCAGCCGCGGUAAUACGGAGGAUCCGAGCGUUAUCCGGAUUUAUUGGGUUUAAAGGGGGCGUAGGUGGAUUGUUAAGUUAGUUGUGAAAGUUUGCGGCUCAACCGUAAAAUUGCAGUUGAAACUGGCAGUCUUGAGUACAGUAGAGGUAGGCGGAAUUCAUGGUGUAGCGGUGAAAUGCUUAGAUAUCACGAAGAACUCCGAUUGCGAAGGCAGCUCACUGGGCUGCAACUGACACUGAGGCUCGAAAGUGUGGGUAUCAAACAGGAUUAGAUACCCGAGUAGUC